CAACAUUGAACUCGAAGUGAAAAAUUUGAAUUUACUCUCUAAAGGACCUAAAACCAUCUCUGUAUCUGAAACAAGAGUCGAGAGACUGGAAUAAAAGCGGUAAUGGAUGGAUAAUCAGGCAGCCAUCCAGAAACAGUGUCAUUGAAUUGAGGUGCCAGUCUAAUAGAUUGAUACUGCAGGAGGUGGAUGUAUGCACAUACAGUACAGAGGCUGUAUCCCAGUGAACAGAGCCAGGACCGUAAUAGUUUCCUUUCCUGACUGAGACCUCUGCUGGUGACAUGGAGAACCAGGAAAACAGGAGUAGGACCCAAAAUGCAGACACCGUAGGCAGAGGAAUGCAGUUCAGUGUUUUAAUGAAGAAAUACAAGGACUUACAUGGAUUGUCAGGCAAGCAGAGAGCAAACCAGGAAAGGUAGUCCAACAAAGCCAAACUAUUAAGACUGGGAGUAAUCCAUGCAAGGUCCAAGAGAAACAGAAGAUAAUCCAAUAGAACACACAGGUAACCAAGGCCGGGACACUUGAUAAAAGUCAAAGACGAACUGACACAGAACAAAAAAACACCAGUUUUUUUCCAGUUAUUUCCACUGGAGGCCAACUAAAACCUAAAACAUUUUGUUGAUUGUGCAAAACGGGAUUUUUCCAAACACUAACAAAGUGAAAGUAAGUUUUGUCUGAACCAAGAAGAGGCUGAGUCACUGUUGUGUGACAUCAAUCAGCCAUACAAAGAAGCAAAAUGCCCCUUCAAAUAAGCAUGGAAAUACUGCAUAUGUAAAUCAAAGGUCAAAACGUUUCUCUGACAAGAAAGCAGGGGGUUUUUUUCAUGACCACUUCCUUUCUUAGAAGCAGAGUCUAAGUAUUCAAAUUAAAUACUUAAAAGCUACUAUUAUCAAUAUUUUUAAAUAAAAAAUGUAUCAAAUUACUAUGUGUAUGUGAAAGGUGUUGCUUGUUGUUUUGGUUGUCCAGCUCACAAUUUCACUGUUUUGGUUCAGUGUAACUGCUU